rnacentral:rRNA from 1 species
GUACCUGCAGUCGAGCGGAUGACGGGAGCUUGCUCCUUGAUUCAGCGGCGGACGGGUGAGUAAUGCCUAGGAAUCUGCCUGGUACUGGGGGACAACGUUUCGAAAGGAACGCUAAUACCGCAUACGUCCUACGGGAGAAAGGAAAUUCCCAACCCUUAAGGGACUAUCCGAUGAGCCUAUGUCGGAUUACCUAGUUGGUGAUGUAAUGGCUCACCAAGGCGACCAUCCCUAACUGGUCUGAGAGGAUGAACCUGCACACUGGAUCUGACACACGGUCCCUACUCCUACGGGAGGAAUCCUUGGGGAAUAUUGGACAAUGGACCAAAGCCUGAUCCAGACAUGCCGAGUGAGUGAAGAAGGUCUUCGGAUUGUAAAUCACUUUAAGUUGGGAUGAAGGGCAGGAAGUUAAUACCUUGUUGUUUUGACGUUACCGACCUAAUAAGCACCGGCUAACUCUGUGCCAGCUACCUCGGUAAUACAGAGGGUGCAAGCGUUAAUCGGAAUUACUGGGCGUAAAGCGCGCGUACGUGGUUCGUUAAGUUGGAUGUGAAAGCCCCGGGCUCAACCUGGGAACUGCAUCCAAAACUGGCGAGCUAGAGUACGGUAGAGGGUGGUGGAAUUUCCUGUGUAGCGGUGAAAUGCGUAGAUAUAAGAAGGAACACCAGUGGCGAAAGCGACCACCUGGACUGAUACUGACUCUGAGGUGCGAAAGCGUGGGGAGCAAACAGGAUUAGAUACCCUGGUAGUCCACGCCGUAAACGAUGUCAACUAACCGUUGGAAUCCUUGAGACUUUAGUGGCGCAGGUAACGCCUUAAGUCGAUCGCCUGGGGAGUUCGGCCGCAAGGUUAAAACUUAAAUGAAUUGACGGGGGCCCGCACCAACGGUGGAGCAUGUGGUUUAAUUUGAAGCGGGCCCUUAAGGUUUUAAAACCCUUAAACCCUUUGGGAAAACCCCAAGCAUUUCCGAAUUAACCAUUUAAUAGACACAGGUGCUGCAUGGCUGUUGUCAGCUUGUGUCGUGAGAUGUUGGGUUAAGUUCCGUAACGAGCGCAACCCUUGUCUUUAGUUACCAGCACGUUAUGGUGGGCACUCUAAGGAGACUGCCGGUGACAAACCGGAGGAAGGUGGGGAUGACGUCAAGUCAUCAUGGCCCUUACGGCCUGGGCUACACACGUGCUACAAUGGUCGGUACAGAGGGUUGCCAAGCCGCGAGGUGGAGCUAAUCUCACAAAACCGAUUGUAGUCCGGAUCGCAGUUUCCAAUUGGAUUCCGGGAAGUGGGAAUCGUUAGUAAUCGGGAAUCACAAUGUCGCGGGGAAUACGUUCCCGGCCCUUGUACACACCGCCCGUCACACCAUGGGAGUGGGAACACCAGAAGUAGCUAGUCUAACCUCGGGAGGCUUUAACCC